rnacentral:tRNA from 1 species
GCAACGCCGAUAAGGUAUCGCGAAAAAAAAGAUGGCUACGUAGCUCAGUUGGUUAGAGCACAUCACUCAUAAUGAUGGGGUCACAGGUUCGAAUCCCGUCGUAGCCACCAUCUUUUUUUGCGGGAGUGGCGAAAUUGGUAGACGCACCAGAUUUAGGUUCUGGCGCCGCAAGGUGUGCGAGUUCAAGUCUCGCCUCCCGCACCAUUCACCAGAAAGCGUUGUACGGAUGGGGUAUCGCCAAGCGGUAAGGCACCGGUUUUUGAUACCGGCAUUCCCUGGUUCGAAUCCAGGUACCCCAGCCAUCUUCUUCGAGUAAGCGGUUCACCGCCCGGUUAUUGGGGUAUCGCCAAGCGGUAAGGCACCGGUUUUUGAUACCGGCAUUCCCUGGUUCGAAUCCAGGUACCCCAGCCAUCGAAGAAACAAUCUGGCUACGUAGCUCAGUUGGUUAGAGCACAUCACUCAUAAUGAUGGGGUCACAGGUUCGAAUCCCGUCGUAGCCACCAAAUUCUGAAUGUAUCGAAUAUGUUCGGCAAAUUCAAAACCAAUUUGUUGGGGUAUCGCCAAGCGGUAAGGCACCGGAUUCUGAUUCCGGCAUUCCGAGGUUCGAAUCCUCGUACCCCAGCCAAUUUAUUCAAGACGCUUACCUUGUAAGUGCACCCAGUUGGGGUAUCGCCAAGCGGUAAGGCACCGGAUUCUGAUUCCGGCAUUCCGAGGUUCGAAUCCUCGUACCCCAGCCACAUUAAAAAAGCUCGCUUCGGCGAGCUUUUUGC